rnacentral:misc_RNA from 1 species
CUCUUUGCAAAAUCUGAAUUCUCAGGAUAUAACACACCUGGUAUCUUCACACAUCCAGCUUGUCUGGCAGCCUUGGACACUAAGGAGCGAGGUAAAACCUUCCAACUGAAUAACCGGCGAGAAAGCUUACCACCCCUCCACCAUAACAUACCUAAUCCACUGGCAGAUUUUGAAGAAGGAUUAGAAUCAAAUUCUGAGUACCUAACCCUCUUCCUGCCAAUUCCAUUCUUUGAAGAAGCACGCGUUGAAGCUGUGACAAUAUGAGAAGCUGAACCCAUAGUGGUGGCAGAAUCCACAUGUUUCAACCACUCCCCUGUAAGUGCCAGCUGAUGCACAUUUGACUCUAAUAUGAGAAGUAAAUGUUUCACGAAUACAAUAUCUGAUGCAUUAAGAACAGUUUUACGCCAAAGCCUGCUAUAAUGUGGAUUCAGCCAUGGACCUAGCAGAAGCCCCUGCAACCUGCCUUCAAUCAAGAGAAUAUAUCUCAUUAUAUCUGCAAGAUGACCUUUCUUGUUCCUUUUUGAUGGAAGGCCAACAACCUCAUCCACUGGCCCUUUCUGAACUGGACCCAAACUCAUAUUAAACAAGCAACCUAUUUCAUCAGAAGAAACCCUGCAAGUGAAGCACCACCCACAUUUUUCU